rnacentral:lncRNA from 1 species
UUGAAAACAUAUUGCUUCCAGCCGGAGUGGAGCUCUUACUGCCAGCAAUUUCACUGCACCACGACUCCAAAAUAUGGGGCGAUGAUGCAAAGGAAUUCAACCCAGAGAGGUUCAACGAAGGAGUCUUAAAGGCAACCAAGGAUCAGUUCUCGUAUUUUCCCUUUGGUUGGGGACCUCGUAUAUGCAUUGGCCAGAAUUUCGCAAUGUUAGAAGCGAAGAUAGCACUCGCAAUGAUUUUACAGAAUUAUUCUUUCGAGCUUUCUCCAUCUUACGCGCAUGCUCCUUACACUGUUGCAAUACUUCAACCUCAACACGGCGCACAGUUAAUCCUCCACAAACUGUAGGCAUCAAAAUUUCGGGUUUUAAUUAUGGUUUUUACUUAUAUGUUACUUAGAAUGUUGUAUUUAAAUUUGUAUUGAAAUAAAAUUAUAUAGUAAUUUUUAGAAUAUGAUUG